rnacentral:tRNA from 1 species
GCCCAUGAUAAAUAUCAAACACGCCAAGUGUUACAAGCAGCCAAUAUCGAACAAGUAGAGUGUCAUCUGGCACAAG